UCUUGACUCCAUUUUGGGUAUUUCGGAUUUUACUGCUUUGACUGAUUAUUUCAACUUUUACCGCAGUGAAAAUUUUGAACAUCUGUUUGAUGAAGCAGGUUGAGGUUCAAGGUGUACUGGUUGCAGAUAGCUUGACUUGGUCGAAAAUGCAGGCGGUUGAUGCUUCAGCGAUGAACACCGGUGGCUACGGUUUAGAUUCGUGCUCCUGAGGCCAAGUCACCAGCCAACCACUUCCGUGGCAUCGCUAGUUGCCUGGAGAGUUUCUUUUGCCUUCACCCACUCGUCAUUUUUCAAUUCCAGCUCAAACAGCAUAGAUAAUGCAUUUGGACUCUUGUCAUUCACUUUCAGGGCAUCAUUAACCGGCAAGGUGUCCAUGGCUCCACGGUAAUAAGCUGUAGUAAUAGUUCUGAAUCUCUCUAGGCCGGCUGUAUCCCAGUGUACGAGUAUAUAUUUCUUUGUGUCUGGCCUCUGGGAGCAAAAGUUCAGAACCUCGUUGCAAAGCUUUUGUACAGAUUCAUCAUCAGGCAGUUUGUUAUUUGUUGCAGAAAACAAGUCAUAACAG